CUCAUUAACUUUCAACUCGACUUAGGCGGCCUUUUGUCUUUCGGUUUCCAGGUUGCCAAGUUUUUGCCUAAUUGAAAGUCGGCAUCAUUUGAAAUGGCCCAAAACGCAUCUCUUGUCGGUUUUUUUUCUUACAUUUUUUUUUCAAGUUUUCUGGGUGGAGCCGAAAUGGCUUGGAAGUUUGCCGAACUCGGCAGUGCCGGCAGUGCACGAGGAGUAAUUCCGGUGUUAAUUUGUACGCAAGAUGCUCAUCAAUCAUGGGAGGGUCUCACAUAUUUGUGGGCGUUGGCGGCUAAACUUUGAAGGAGCAGCCCCUGGAACCAAAAUCGAUACGUGAACGUGAGAAAAAUGAUUGACUUGAAAUAUGUGCAUAAUUAUUUGACCGAAAGGACUGCAGGAACCCUUAAAUGAGUAUUAAGUAAAAAGACUGAGAACAGCUAAGCACUGUUAUUAAGGUAUGUAUUAGUGGGGCUUGUGUUGUUUCCUGGAAACAUAUUCUUGGCAGAGCUUUCAACUCCCCAUGCCAAAUGAUCUCGAGAUGUUGUAACUUCAACUUACAGCAGCUGGGAUCGUGUCAAUGACGUGACACCGCCACCCAGCACACAACAUCGAAAAUUGGGCGCAACUAAACAUGAAUGGAUCGGCCUCUAGCCUCUAUCUAUGUGGGGACGGUGUCGGCAAUCAAGCCAAAAUAAUUAAACGCUUGUCAGACAAACCAGAACAAGCUGGAGGAGAUCUCCCAACUACACGAGUCUGGGGGCUAGUCAAAGGGAGGGGAACCACUCUCUGGGUGUGAUGUCAGGCCCACACACAUGGCUGGCUGGCUGGCUGGCUGGGCUAACCGAAAACCAAAAACAGUUUGACACAAUGCCGCGAUAAAUUUGCUCAUCAUUCACUCAUUCAGACGGUAAGUCAUUCACGAUCGCACCUAAAAAUAAAAGCGGGCCUCAUCAGUCUUCGGCGAAGACGGCGGCUAAGAACUUGCGACGCAACGAGGUGUCAAUGAAAACUCCCGAAGGAAAAUCUCCCGAGGAAAGCUGCUGGCCGGGUGACAAUUUUCUGACUUCCUCAUGCCAAUUUGUGGUGAUCAUUCAUGUAACUGCAACGAGAUCAUUGCCUGGUGUCUGUGUGUGGUAAAGUGUCAACAUUUACAAUGUAAAAAUGUCAAAGAUGACAGGAGACAGAGCAGACAGAAUGAAAGGGGAACCAGCCUCGGAAGGCAAAUGACACAACUGUUGCAGUUUCUUUUUGGCUAAGAGGGAGUAUCACAGCUACCAUCAUUACUAUCUUACCAUCAUUACUAUCUAAGAAGAGGUCUUGAGAUCUUUUUCCUCGCAAUAGGUCCCUCAACAGGAACUCCCUCCAUUUAUAUUCUCCAAGUGUACUUCCAAUGUAAUAGUUACAUCAAGUUAACCUUUUAAUUAUGGGCCAUAUGCUGCACCCACUUGCCUCCAGACGAUUUGAUCUUUUCCCCAUUUGGCUUCUCUUAUUUUUUUGCAUUUCCAUAAAAAAUUACAACUUGUUUGUCUGGCGUCACUUAAUUGUUUUCCCCUCGCCGAUCGACGGAGCAACUGACUGGGGCACGUCAAACAACUGUCAGUUGGUUCGUCAUCAUCAUCAUCCCAGCCAUGAUGAUCACUUUGGAAAGAGAUGGUGGAGUGGGAUGUGAAAGAGAGGGGUGCUGAAACAGCAGCAGACUUCUCCGAGCGAUCGUGAUCUUGACAUAUGAUUAAUUUGCAUUCGCUUUAUUCUCCUUUGUGUCUGGCUUUGUUUAAACAAUAUAUUGACUCAUAAGUUUGUUGAUUAA